rnacentral:rRNA from 1 species
AUUGAACGCUGGCGGCAGGCCUAACACAUGCAAGUCGAGCGAGCGGGGGACGGGAGAGAAAUGUAGGGGGAUCUGCCCGAGAGAGGGGGAUAACUAGGGGAAACGGUGGCUAAUACCGCAUACUAUCGGAUGAACCGAUAUGGGAUUAGCUAGUAGGCGGGGUAAAGGCUCACCUAGGCGACGAUCUCUAGCUGGUCUGAGAGGAUGAUCAGCCACACUGGGACUGAGACACGGCCCAGACUCCUACGGGAGGCAGCAGUGGGGAAUAUUGCACAAUGGGCGCAAGCCUGAUGCAGCCAUGCCGCGUGUAUGAAGAAGGCCUUAGGGUUGUAAAGUACUUUCAGCGGGGAGGCGUUACCCGCAGAAGAAGCACCGGCUAACUCCGUGCCAGCAGCCGCGGUAAUUC